rnacentral:tRNA from 1 species
GGGAUAUAGCUCAGUGGUAGAGCACUUACCUAGCAUGCGAGAGGCCUUGGGUUUCAUCCCCAGCACUGCCCCA